rnacentral:rRNA from 1 species
AUCUACAGCCAUACCUCCCUGAACGUCUGAUCUCUUCUGAACUUGGAAGCUAACCAGGGUCAAGCUUGUUAGUACUUGGGAGAACUGUAAUACUCAUAUUAGCUUGUUAUAUAUU